AGAGCCAAGUUGUGAAUGCAAAGGAAAAGUUUUCUGAAGUAAAUGUACUACCCCAGUGAACACACGAAUGAUGAGAAAGGGAAACAGACUUGGAACUGAUAUGGAGAAAGUGUGAGUGAUCUGGAUAGAAGAUAAGACCAACCACAACAUUCCCUUAAGCCAAAGCUCACUCCAGAGUAAGGCCCUAAUGCUUUACUUCUAUAAGGCCGAGAUAGCUGAGGAAAGUGUAUUGGAGAAUUUGAAGCUAGCUGAGGUUGGUUGAUGAGAUUUGAGUAAGGAAGUCUCCAUAGCAUAAAACUGCAAGGUAGAGCAGCAAGUCCUGAUGUAGAUGUUGUAGCACGUUCUCCAGAACAGUAAGAGAACUGAUGAAGGUUGCUACACUAAGGAACAAAUUUUCAGUGUAGACAAAAUAGCCUUCUAUUGAAAGACUGUGCCAUCUACAUCUAGGACACUCAUAGCUGGAGAAGAGAAGUCAAUGUCUGGCUACAAAGCUUGAAAGCACAGGCUGACUCUCUUGUCAGGGCCUAAUGUAGCUGAUGACUGUAAGUUGAAGCCAGUGCUCAUUUGCCAUUCUAAAACUCCUAGGACCCUUAAGAAGUAUGCUAAAUCAACUAUGCCUGUGCUCUAUACUGGAACAACAAAGCCUAGAUGACAGCACAUCUGUUUACAACAUGGUUUACUGAAUCUUUGAAGCCUGUUGUUGAGACCUACUGCCCAGAAAAAGAACAUUAUUUUAAAAAU